GGGCGUGUGGCUCAGUUGGUAGAGCGCCCGCUUAGCAAGGCUUCUAGCUUGGAAGCUCAAGCAUGCGGAAGGUCCCCGGUUCGAUUCCGGGCUCGUCCA